ACUGAUGAUCGUCCGCGAGUGACCAACCAUGGGCUGCCUUCGGUGUAGCUCGGUCGCUCGCUUGCUAUGUGUCAGAAUUUGUUGAAAGCCAACUCGUUCGUUGUACACUUUGAUGGGUGACCAUCACUGUGUCUCCGUGCCGAGCUAGAUCUCCCCUAGCCGUAAGGCACUUGAACGCCCCUUCGACGACGAGUUGCAUGUGUGUGGUAUGUGUCAGAAUCUGGUGAAGCUUUCUGCAUGUGAUGUGCCUUGUGUGGAUCCGUGGCCAUUGCAUUGUGUCUGGUGUGUAGGUACCCAGACACUUAGAACGCUUGCGCGGAAAGCAAACUCGAUCGUUGUACACUUUGAUGGGUGACCAUCACUGUGUCUCCGUGCCGUGCUAGAUCCCCCCUAGCCGUAAGGCACUUUGAACGCCCCUUCGACGACGAGUUACAAGAGUGUGGUAUGUGUCAGAAUCUGGUGAAGCUUUCUGCAUGUGAUGUGCCUUGUGUGGAUCCGUGGCCAUUGCAUUGUGUCUGGUGUGUAGGUACCCAGACACUUAGAACGCUUGCGCGGAAAGCAAACUCGAUCGUUGUACACUUUGAUGGGUGACCAUCACUGUGUCUCCGUGCCGUGCUAGAUCUCCCCUAGCCGUAAGGCACUUUGAACGCCCCUUCGACGACGAGUUACAAGAGUGUGGUAUGUGUCAGAAUCUGGUGAAGCUUUCUGCAUGUGAUGUGCCUUGUGUGGAUCCGUGGCCAUUGCAUUGUGUCUGGUGUGUAGGUACCCAGACACUUAAGCAAACUCGAUCGUUGUACACUGUGAUGGGCGAGCAUCACUGUGUCUCCGUGCCGUGUAAGAGCUCCCCUGGCCAUCAGGCACUUGAAAGGUCCUUCGACGACGAGUUACAAUAGUGGUGUGUUAGAUACGUCAGGUGAUGGUAUCUACUGUUGUGCAAUACGUAUCCGGCCACGGCACGGAACGAACGGGAACUGUGGUGCAGACAUACAAAGAGUUAAGCCUAUUAGUCAUUAACUCUAAGGACGGGGCCAUGGGGCGGUACGCAAAGGAUACGGAUGAGCGAGUAUGCAGGCCCAAUACUCAAUAGCUCGAUCCGAUCCAAGCACAUGAGUUGACUGCGGCGCCAGGUUAACCAAUGUGCUAGAUUCUAUUUGGCCAGUAGAAUCUUGUGUCUUAUGCGAUUUGAUACCAAGACACCAGAACGAAAGUUAGUUGAAGAGUUAUUAAACUCUUAUGAAGUAUGGUUGUGCAAUCACAACUUAUGACUUUAACCUAUAAAGUGGAUAUGGACUUGCAAUUAUAACAUGGGGCACACACCAUGUUCUCGAUCCAAUCCACGCACACGAGUUGCCUGAGUAGCGACAGGUAUACCGAUGUGCAAUACGUAUCCGGCCAUAGGCACGGAACGAACAGGAACUGUGGUGCAGACAUACAAGGGCCAUGGGGCGGUACGCAAAGGAUACGGAUGAGCGAGUAUGCAGGCCCAAUACUCAAUAGCUCGAUCCGAUCCAAGCACAUGAGUUGACUGCGGCGUCAGGUUAACCGAUGUGCAAUACGUAUCCGGCCAUAGGCACGGAACGAACAGGAACUGUGGUGCAGACAUACAAGGGCCAUGGGGCGGUACGCAAAGGAUACGGAUGAGCGAGUAUGCAGGCCCAAUACUCAAUAGCUCGAUCCGAUCCAAGCACAUGAGUUGACUGCGGCGCCAGGUUAACCGAUGUGCUAAGAGAGUUGUUCCUGGGCCUUCAAAGUGACUUCAAAACUAUCUUAGCGAAUGGUGGCCAUGGGCGUAGACAUGAGCCACAAGUCACAAGGCCUGGGACUAUUGGGUAAUAAAGACAACUUAGUCAGAAAGUUAGUCUUUGGAC